rnacentral:rRNA from 1 species
AGUGAACGCUGGCGGUAGGCCUAACACAUGCAAGUCGAACGGCAGCACAGUAAGAGCUUGCUCUUACGGGUGGCGAGUGGCGGACGGGUGAGGAAUACAUCGGAAUCUACUUUUUCGUGGGGGAUAACGUAGGGAAACUUACGCUAAUACCGCAUACGACCUACGGGUGAAAGCAGGGGAUCUUCGGACCUUGCGCGAUUGAAUGAGCCGAUGUCGGAUUAGCUAGUUGGCGGGGUAAAGGCCCACCAAGGCGACGAUCCGUAGCUGGUCUGAGAGGAUGAUCAGCCACACUGGAACUGAGACACGGUCCAGACUCCUACGGGAGUCAGCAGUGGGGAAUAUUGGACAAUGGGCGCAAGCCUGAUCCAGCCAUACCGCGUGGGUGAAGAAGGCCUUCGGGUUGUAAAGCCCUUUUGUUGGGAAAGAAAAGCAGCAGGUUAAUACCCCGCUGUUCUGACGGUACCCAAAGAAUAGGCACCGGCUAACUUCGUG